UGAAUUUAAUUAAAUAAAUUUAUCAAAUUAAAAAUAAUUUAUUACAGUAAAAAACACAUUGUCUUUAAUCCCCCUCAAAACAACUCCCCUUCAUUUCAAACCCUUGUCCCAUUGUUCUUGCCAUGGUGUGAAGGAGUUCUGCAAGUCCUCCAUGGCAGUUGUGCUGUCAUGGCUGUCUUGAUGUCCUGAAUUGAUCAAAGCAUUUACUUUUCAUAGUCAUUUUGGCUUUUGCAAGAGCCAGAAGUCAGGCCCAGGGAAUAAAGUGGAUGAGGUCACAAUGUCAUGUUUUUAUGAGCCUGCUUUUAGUUGGAUGGGACUCUGUAGGAGCAUUCACAGUAUUUUUGGUCACACCUUGUAAAGACAUUCAUGAAAUCCUGUUGUAGGACUUCUUAGAGCCUUCAUAUGUGAAAGCUCACUGUGAGCCUUUCAGAAGAAGACAGGUUUUCCUGGCAAUCUUAGGAGGGAAUCAUUUUGGAAGAGGUGCUAUAGCAGAUUUGGACUUGCCUGACAGAGAUGAAUCGCCCAGAGACUCCUGGUGCAUCUUUCUUUACACUUCACCUCCCCCGCUGCGGAAGAGAAAUAGACUUUCCCCUCAUCCAUCACAAGUCAGUGUGACAGGGCUGUCGUUCCCCAGACCUGACCCACUACAUCUCCCCUCUCUCUGUUCGCUCCAGUGCCACCCCCCCCCCCCU
rnacentral:lncRNA from 1 species